CAGGAAACAUGCCCUUCCGGUCAUUGGUUCCACCUGGCCAGGAGCAGAAUCCUUCCAGUGUCCCUGUACCAGCCCCAGCUGCCAGUGUGGGAACCCAGCCUAGUGUGUCGGUGGCCAGCACUCACAGCAGCUCUUACCUCAGCAGCCAGCAGCAGGCAGCUGUGAUGAAGCAGCACCAGCUGCUCCUGGACCAGCAGAAGCAGAGAGAGCAGCAGCAGCUGCAGCAACAGCAGUUCCUGCAGAGGCAGCACCUCCUGGCUGAGCAGGAGAAGCAACAGUUUCAGCGUCAUCUGACCCGCCCACCCCCCCAGUACCAAGACCCAACACAAAGCACCUUCCAACAACAGGUUGGACAGUUCACAGGACCUUCUGCUGCUGUGCCUGGAAUGAACAACUUGGGUCCAUCCAAUUCCAGCUGUCCUCGAGUGUUCCCUCAGCCUGGGACUCUGAUGUCAAUGGGUCCUGGACAUGCCCCUGUUUCCUCUCUCCCCCCAAGCUCAGGCCAGCAGGACCGUGGAGUGGCCCAGUUUACUGGGUCCCAGAGUUUGCCUCACAACAGCCUUUAUGGCAUGGCAUCAGGCCUAGCCCAGAUAGUUGCCCAGCCCCCACCACAGGCUACCAGCACACAUGCCCACAUUCCACGGCAGACCAAUGUGGGCCAAAAUGCCUCCACCUCAGCUGCAUAUGGACAGAACUCUCUGGGGAGUGCCAGCCUCUCCCAGCAGCACAGUAAGGGAACCCUGCCUCCUGGUUUAGCAAAGCCACAAGUCCCAAGGGUAUCAGCAGCCAUGGGAAGCCAGAAUCCCUCAUGGCAACAUCAGGGGAUGCCAAACCUGAGCAGCCAGACACCUGGGAACAGCAGUGUGAGCCCCUUCACUGCGGCUUCCAGUUUCCACAGACAGCAAGCCCACCUGAAAAUGUCUGCUCAGCAGUUCUCCCAGGCCAUGCCCACCAGGCCCAUGGCUCCUCUGAGUUCAGCAGCUGCAGCAGGGCCCAUGCUGCCCUCAGUGAGCACACAGCAGAGGAACAGUGCCCCUGCCCCUGCCCCUCCCCAAGCAGCCUCACAGCAGGGCUUGCCUGGCUUAAGUCCUUCAGGGCCUGAGCUGGGGGCCUUCGGCCAGAGCCCCACUUCCCAGAUGAACAGCAGGCCUGGGCUGCACUGUGCUCAGGCUUACCCUGUGAGGACCAUGGGCCAAGAGCUUCCCUUCGCUUACAGCGGGCAGCCAGGCAGCAGUGGUCUGUCCAGUGUGGCUGGACACACCGACCUGAUCGACUCGCUGCUGAAGAACAGGACUUCCGAGGAGUGGAUCAAUGAAUUGGAUGAUCUUCUAGGGUCACAGUAACAGAGACCUCUGUGGUGUGUUUGGCGUUUAGACAUCUUAUUUUUGUUCUCAGAUUCAAGAAAGAGCAACUACUUUGGACCAAAAGCCCAUGGCCCAGAGAAUUGGGCCAGUAGAACCUAAGCCACAGCUGGGGCCACCUCUGGUCAGUAUCUGACGGUCCAUUGGGCUGGCCCAGCACAUUGGCAUCACUAACUAGGGUUGGGAUAGCAGGAUGGAGGUUUGAAAGGUCGCUUCCUGCCCAGAUGACCAAAAAGCCAGUGGAGACAAUUGUCCCACCGUAUCAGGCCUACAAAGAAUAUGUGCCGGGUUUCCACCCAUGGCUUCUCCAUUUGCCUCAAGGCUGGGAACAAACUUCUGGUGGUUAGGAUUAUUUGCAUUUUAUAGCAUAGAAGUCAUUUUUUUUUAACUUAUGGUUUUUACGCAGAUUAGGACAGGUGGUGGUUAUAUUGUAAGUGGCACUGGAAACAAAGGGUUUCCUUAGGAGUCGGAGCCUUUUUUAUUCCUGCUCUGUCAGCUUUCAUGGUCACUGGACAUCACUGCCACUGUACAGGCUGUGACUGCAGAUGCCCAAAUGAUCAGGACGCCACAAGAUGGUACAUCUAGUGGUCCACACAGGAUCCUCCUCAAAGCUCCUCCUAUUUCUUGGCUGCCAUUCACUCUUGAGGACACUGGGCCCCCAUGGAGUCCCCUCUGUGCCCUGGCAUGGCUAAGGUGGAGAUUCAGCAUGUCUCUGACAACCCGUUCGUACACAGUAGAAGUGCACACAUCUUUCCUCCUCCACAUCCCCAUGACCCUUCUUCCUAACUCCCGGCCUCUUCCAGCCAAAACGGGAAACCGUGGCUGACUUCACUGCAGUAGAAGAGGAAGAGUCAAACUCCUUAGGGAGUCUGAGCCUGCACAGGCUUGGGGAACGGAGGCUGCAGGCAGCCUGCUGGCCAGGCAUCACUUUACUCUCUACCCUCCAGACUUCUGCUCCUCCCACAGCUGAUGACUUGCACUUUCAAAGUGGUUUUAUAACACUAACUGAUCCUUGCUAAAGAUUGAAGUAGGUUCUCUUAGAAGGUCUAUUGAUGGACAUGUCUGAGCAGCAAGAAUAUGGAAUAGAAUAUGGUGUUUAGGCUGCUAACAGCAAGAGUGAGCACUUGUCUUCAUCACAAGCGAGAUGAUGAGCACAGUGAGACCUUUAACAGGAUGGCAGAGGGAAAGGUGUUUGCUGGAGUGACUUCUGUGCAGAGUGCUCUGUAGAGAAGCCACAGCUCCGCUCGUUGUCCAGGGGCCCUGGAACACUUCUCCAGUGUAAAGAACUGAGCCAAGGAAAUGACAAGAACCGCCUUCCCACCCAGAGGGAGGAAGGUGUGCACACACCGCUAACUUGUUUGCACCAGCAGUGCCUUUUUCACUGAGGGCACCUUGUCCCUCAUAGCCAUUUCUCCUGCCAUGUCCUCCCCAGAAACUCAGUUCAGCUCUCAGAGCAGCAGGUGAAUCAUAAAGUCAGUGAAGCCACCACCCUCUGAUGUCCCCAGCUGCAGGGGAGAGAGUGGCUUCAGCGGGUUCUCUACCAAAAACAGGGCUAAGGGCUGGGCCUGCAGCCUGAGUCCUCUUCCAGCCUCCUGCUACAGCUGCCCACCUCCUGCCUCCGCUGCCCAGGCCCCAGCACUCUACCUUAGGCCCAGGCUGGCCACACAGGCAGUGGGCAACUUGCUGCAGUGUCAUAGCAAUAAAAUGUGAUUCUUGGGGUCCCCCCCAGAGCUGCCCACGGCUUUAUUUAUGAGUCUGGCUUUGAGAAGCUGGGGAGAGGUAACCUGCUUCCUCCCAUCUUCUCAGAGCCACGACUCAAGAAGAAAAGGGUGCUCAGACUCUCUUAUACACAUGUGCUUUGUGUAAAUAAAUGUUUACAAUUUUAUACUGAAGAUGGAAUAAGUGUUAGAGCGUCCAACUGUAUAUUUUUUACUUUUAUAGAUUUUAAAACCGAUCCUUUAUAUGUGUUUGGAGCUAUGAUAAGUUUUAUGGCAAGCAGUUGGUAUUGUUAACUUUUUAUGAUCAUCAAAAGUGUAUAAAAGUCCUAUUAAUCCCUUUAUUCUGCUUCCCUUAGCUCUGGUAUACACCAAAAAGAAAUCUUUACUUUCCUUGUGUUAUAAAAAUAAUAAAAAUAUUUUACUAGUAUGGAAAUCACAA
rnacentral:lncRNA from 1 species